UUAAAAAAAAGGAGGAGGUGUUAGGAUGAGUAGGAAACAACUGGUCCAGCUAAAUAAAAAGGAAGAAUUUGAGGAAAAACUAGUCAGAACAGUAAUAAAUCAUUCUAAGAAAUACUACUGCUGAUCAACUGAAAGUAAUCUAGGAUAAACUAAAGAGGCCUGAUGCCAGUCAUUAUUGAUAAGAAGGAAGGAUUGCAUUGGUUAGUGGUAAUCAGUCAAGAAGACAGAUUUUCAUGCAUAAAAUGCAAAGGGUCAAUAAGAGAAGGAACACCAUUUCAUUUUGAGGCUUGAAAACUAUUGACUGCAUCUGGUAUCCUAACAGAGGAAGACAACUCACUUGUGAGGACUGAGGCUUGAGGGAAAAAUGCUAUUUCAAGGAAAGAAGUUAGCUGGCCUUCAGUGAGGAUAGUCGUAACAUCAAAGGCAGUAUGUUUCCUCAGUGUAAGGCAGUCCCAUACUUAAUUGAACCAGGUACGCAUGGAAAGUGAGAUUCAGCCAGUGAAGAUGGUCAGCACAAGUGCUGCUGUGGAGAAGCAGUCAUCUCCUGACUGAAUUCCAGUGUGAUCAGAGGAAGAGGAGCAGAGAGGCAAACCCAGCACUGAGUUCUGUUAACAGAGCAAGUGGGGGCUGAGGUAGGUUUGCUGUCCUGUCUUAGGCCAAGAUCCUCAAAGGUGUUUAGGUACAUAACUCCCUUUGAGGAUCUGAGCCUGUGUCCUUCCAGAAGGAGAGUGAGAGAACAAGGGAGG